GAAAAGAUCCCCGGUGGGAGUGGUAAAUAGAACCUGAAUCCCUACACUUACAAGAUCUAGGAGACAAGUUGUGGUGUGUACGCGUACGUGUACUAGAACAGGCCAACGAGUUACGUUAAGUAGCAAGGUUAAGCUCUUAAGGUGCGGAGCAGUAGAGAAAGCAAGUUUUAACUGAGCGUUCAGUUACUUGACGUAGACCCGAAUCCGGGCGAACUACCCAUGAGCAGGAUGAAGCGAAAAUAAAAUUUCGUGGAGGUCCGAACCCACGAGCGUUGAAAAGCUCGAGGAUGACUUGUGGGUAGCGAGUAAAUUCCAAUCGAGCCCGAAGAUAGCUGGUUCUCCCCGAAAUCGCUUUAGGGCUAGCCUCAAGGUGAGAGAUACAGAGGUAGAGAACUGAAUGUCCUAGGGAGUAUUGCACCUACCGAAGACUAUCAAACUCCGAAUGCCGUCAUCUUAUACUUGGG
rnacentral:rRNA from 1 species